rnacentral:rRNA from 1 species
UGGGGAAUAUUGGACAAUGGGCGAAAGCCUGAUCCAGCCAUGCCGCGUGUGUGAAGAAGGUCUUCGGAUUGUAAAGCACUUUAAGUUGGGAGGAAGGGCAGUUACCUAAUACGUAUCUGUUUUGACGUUACCGACAGAAUAAGCACCGGCUAACUCUGUGCCAGCAGCCGCGGUAAUACAGAGGGUGCAAGCGUUAAUCGGAAUUACUGGGCGUAAAGCGCGCGUAGGUGGUUUGUUAAGUUGGAUGUGAAAUCCCCGGGCUCAACCUGGGAACUGCAUCCAAAACUGGCAAGCUAGAGUACGGUAGAGGGUGGUGGAAUUUCCUGUGUAGCGGUGAAAUGCGUAGAUAUAGGAAGGAACACCAGUGGCGAAGGCGACCACCUGGACUGAUACUGACACUGAGGUGCGAAAGCGUGGGGAGCAAACAGGAUUAGAUACCCCCGUAGUCCCUGAGCGGGCUGGCAAGGCGCAU